rfam:Gossypium hirsutum cultivar TM-1 chromosome 22, whole genome shotgun sequence
UGUUAAAAAUUUUAUCUAUUUGUAUUGUUAAAAACUAAUGUGGCUAGCAAAAUAACUAGACAAUGAUACGUGACAUGCUACGUAUAUAUUAUGCUGAUGUAUAAUAAUCAGUUUUUAAGAAUAAAAAUAAAAUAAAUUCUUAAUA